GAGUUUGAUCCUGGCUCAGGAUGAACGCUGGCGGCGUGCUUAACACAUGCAAGUCGAGCGGAGGUUUAAAGCGGAAGUUUUCGGAUGGAAGCAGUAAACCUUAGCGGCGGACGGGUGAGUAACGCGUGGGUAACCUGCCUCAUACAGGGGGAUAACAGUUAGAAAUGACUGCUAAAACCGCAUAAGCGCACAUUGUCGAGUGACAGAGUGUGAAAAACUCCGGUGGUAUGAGAUGGACCCGCGUCUGAUUAGCUAGUUGGUGAGGUAACGGCCCACCAAGGCGACGAUCAGUAGCCGGCCUGAGAGGGCGACCGGCCACAUUGGGACUGAGACACGGCCCAAACUCCUACGGGAGGCAGCAGUGGGGAAUAUUGCACAAUGGGGGAAACCCUGAUGCAGCGACGCCGCGUGAGUGAAGAAGUAUUUCGGUAUGUAAAGCUCUAUCAGCAGGGAAGAAGAAAGACGGUACCUGACUAA
rnacentral:rRNA from 1 species